UUUCGGUGUAUCAGAUGCAGUGCCAUUUCCACUUCCUGGGGUAUAUUGAUUCCCUUGAUUGCGUAGUAGUGCUGGGCAGGUUCCCUUGGCAAUGUGACGCUUGAGAUGGCUAGUACCAGCUACUUUAGAACCUGUGCUAUAAGCAAAACUUUGCUUGCACUGAUUACAGCACGCUCUUCUACAUCCAGGACUUACAGUUUCUAUUGUAAAGUGUUCCCAGACUAUGGACUUCUUUUUCCUCCGCUUGUUAGG
rnacentral:misc_RNA from 1 species